GACCAAGGAGUCUAACAUGUAUGCGAGUCAUUGGGAAAUACUAAACCCAAAGGCAUAAUGAAAGUAAAGAUCCAAUUUUAUGGAUAUGAGGAGAGAUCAUGGCUUUAUUCUUGAUAUUCUGAAAAGUUUAUUAAGUAAAGUAUGCGCAUCUCCGGGAUGUUUUAACCUCUGAAGGUAGGGCAUACCUAGAGCAUACACGUUGGGACCCGAAAGAUGGUGAACUAUGCCUGGUCAGAACGAAGUCAGGGGAAACCCUGAUGGAGGUUCGUAGCGAUUCUGACGUGCAAAUCGAUCGUCGGAACUGGGUAUAGGGGCGAAAGACUAAUCGAACCAUCUAGUAGCUGGUUCCCUCCGAAGUUUCCCUCAGGAUAGCUGGCGCUUGUAUCAGUCUCAUCCGGUAAAGCGAAUGAUUAGAGGCCUUGGGGCCGAAACGACCUCAACCUAUUCUCAAACUUUAAAUGGGUGAGAAGUUAGGCUUGCUUGAAUUGAAGCUCUAACAAUGGAUGUUGAGUGCCAAGUGGGCCACUCUU
rnacentral:rRNA from 1 species